rnacentral:RNase_MRP_RNA from 15 species
CUUAUGGUGUUGUGAAAGUCUCCAGCCAGUAUGCAGAAAUCUCCUUGCAUUCGGAAAGGAAGUGCCUACCAUGGGCGGCAACACAUUGUUGUCCUUCGGACUACCAUCGCAGCCACUUACCA